rnacentral:ncRNA from 2 species
CUCUUAUCAAGAGUAGCUGAGGGACUGGCCCAAUGAAGCUCGGCAACCUCCUUUUCGGAAGGUGCUAAAUCCUGCAAACAGAUGAUGUUUGAUAGAUAAGAG